UCAUGCUGUUUCUGCCACACUUGGUGGUUCCCCACAGCCUCUAAACCUAAGCACUUCAUAGCUGUAGAGGCUUAUUUGACAGGGGGGGUUAAUUACUUUAUUUUUGUAAAUAAAACUGAAGGAGCAGAGCUGUAUCUGCCAGUACCUGGUGCAGCCUCAUUCUGCCAACUUGUUCCUGACAGCUGUUCCCCUUCUUGGGCUUCUAGAAGCAUCCUCAGAGAGCUGUGUGAAACCACAGGUACAGAAACCUGAGAGCCCCGAGUCCCAGGUGAGGGGUGUUGGUGUGUCCUGUGCCUCAGAGGCCAAGGUACAAUACCAGCUGUCCUCAUUGUAGUCGAGUAAUUUCACACAAUGAGUUUCCUGUUUAUAAGCUGAGCUUCACAAUAUGAUUUUUGCCCUCCAUUUCUUACGAAUGGAAAGAAGAGCACACUGAGCACAGCUCAUCUGUCAGCAGCUCUGUGAAAAGCUGAUGCUGAGCAAGCAGGAGGGAGGCAGAGAUCUCUCCCCAAACCGAGCGCGUACAAAGCACUGAGUGAGUUGUGACGAGAACAACAGCUCCGAUGGAAGCACGAGCCAAGAACAACAGCUCGACAGGGAACUUUACACUUUCCCUGACAGCUCCUUGGGGCGGAGACAGUUAAGUUUCUGCGUUUGUAAGGGAAACAUGGCAUUCCUUAAAGCUGAGCCUCCUCCCUCGGGUUCCCACUGAAUGCCUGAGAGAUGACAGCAGAGGGUGUCUCCAGCAGGCUCCUAUUAAACAGGAGGAAUUAGCACGGAGGGAGCAAGAGCUAGAUCCCAGUUUUGACCACAGAGUGAGCAAAAAAGCUUUGCAUCAGCAGCAGUUUGCAGGUUUUUUUUACCCACUGACUGCACACAGCUCCUCUUCAGGGGGUUCCUGUGCCCUCGUGUUGGUGCCUGCACCUGUCCGAUGUGCGAAGGGCUGUGCUGGGAGGGCAGACCAGCUCCAAACAGAAAGUGCUGAGGCAGCAGUGAGGCAGGACAGAUGAUCCUUGGGAGGGCAGUUGUGGUUCAGACACACUUGGAACUGGUUUGAUAUCCCCAGCAGCACAAACCCGGCUGGCCGGGGAGCUGGUGAGCCGAGUAUGUGGACAGAUGGAAUAGAUACAGACAGGAAAUGGGGGAGAAAGGGGAAAUAUUAGUGUUUGUACAGCUCCGGGAGGCUCUGGUUAGUUCUGGAGUCCUGCAGUCCCAUUUCUAUUUUUAGCUCAGUCACUGGAUGGUUUUGGGGAGUGACUGGAGGAGCUCGAGCCAGGUGUGAGUGUGGAGAGAGGACAAACCUCUGGGCACCAGGCAGCUCAUGCGAUGUGGCAGUCACCACCACGCCCUUUCCUGUUCACCCCGGGGCCCCGGGCAGCCGUGCCAGCCACAGUGCCUGAGUGGGGAGAAGGGAAAAGGAGGGGUUUCUAAAGUGCUGAUAACCCACAGCAUUCCUCGGGAAAGGAGAGGUGGCGAGCAGCUCUGGUGGUGUCUCUCCCCUGAGACAAAAGCUCACAGAAGUUCUGGAAGCUGCUUUGGGCGGGGUGUCGACUUCUGGCCGUGCCUCAGCCUCGUGCCCUGUUAGAGGCAAUAUUGACUUAAAGAAAGAGGCAUGGAGCAUGCUUGGCAUGGGUGUUCCGAGUUAAAAAUUGUCAGUCUGGGCAAACAGACCUUUGGGGUGAUCGGCAGGAAAGCCGAGUGGCUGUGCUGCAUUAUUACUGCUCCUUUCAGAGCACGGUGUGACCUGGUGCUGCUCUGGGCGCUGAGCACCCGGCUCGGCGGGUUUGGAGAAGCGCUGCAGGUUUUGGAGCUCAGUGCUUCAGAUCAAACCCAUUUCCUUCCCCUCGGUGAGGUGUUUGUACUGCCUCAGUGAGUCAAUAAGCAUGUGAGGAAUGCAUCUCACAGCUGAAGCAGUGCCUCGUCAGGAGAAGAACCAGUACCUGGCAGAUGGGAGGCAUGUGUUCUACAAAAGCUGCUGUUCACUGGCAGGAGGCACCUGAUUCCCUGGGUGGAACUUCCUGUCCGUGUUUCUGCCCGUUACUCUUGUCCUGUCUCUUGGCACCUCUGAGCAGAGCCUGGUCCAUGCCAGGUAGCCACAAGCGGCUGAGGAGUUGAACCCCACGGCUGACACAGUAUCCCCGUGCCACGCACUGGGCACGGCCGGGGCUCGAACCCGCAACCCUCUGAGCGCAGGGCCCGCGUUGGCCGGACGGGGGCGCGGCGGCCCCAGCGCCGCCCGGAAGCGGAA